rnacentral:misc_RNA from 1 species
AUUGCAAACUAUGAGGUCAAAAUUGAAAUAUUAAGCAAGGGAUGAAAUUGAAACUUUAAUGAAACAUCAAUAGCCAAAUCUUGGUAUUACAAUUGUCAAAGAAUCUGUAUCUCUAGCAAUAUUUGUUAACUGGUUGGUGUUGGUUGGUAUUUAUUUAAAUAGGUGAAUUUCUUUUUUAAUAUCAUAAGUUCAUAAUUUCUAAUUACUAUCUUUGUUGCUUGUUAUGCCUUCACUUCUCCAAAAUAUUGUUUCUCGUUCUGGAUAUUACAUCAGUUGCCUUAGUGGUAUGUAGCUUUUUUGUGGAAUUUCAGUGUUAAAUAUAGAAUGUAAAUGUGGAAUUUUUCCUUGUAUAUAUAUACGUACAUAGUUACAUACACACUGGUUCAAAGUUAAACGUUUCAACAGUUGAAUUCCUUUCUCUUUUGGUUAGAGUUUGAAUAUUGUAUGUUUUAUCUGAUCGGCAUGAUUGUGAUUCAAAUCGGUCGAUUCCAUACAGGUUCCUAACUAAUGCAUGCCUUA